rfam:Choloepus hoffmanni cont1.115870, whole genome shotgun sequence.
CCGAACGCUGGGCUAUAAUUUAUGAAACUGAGCCCCAGAUCCAGCCAAUCACCUAGCUCCUCAUAACAAGUCUAACUGGCUCUGGAAAGCUGAAAGGGCUGCACUAGAACAACAUAAAUGAGAUAUCCCACACGAUAAUCUGCUUAUCUGGAAUCACUUUCCCUCCAAGGCCAGAGCUUCAUUUGUCUGGGGGAAGAAGGACAGGUGACCUGGGAAAACACGACAAUACCUGGAGCAA